rnacentral:rRNA from 1 species
CCUACGGGUGGCAGCAGUGGGGAAUAUUGGACAAUGGGCGAAAGCCUGAUCCAGCCAUGCCGCGUGUGUGAAGAAGGCCUUCGGGUUGUAAAGCACUUUCAGUGGGGAAGAAAGCCUUGGGGCUAAUACCCUCGAGGAAGGACAUCACCCACAGAAGAAGCACCGGCUAACUCCGUGCCAGCAGCCGCGGUAAUACGGAGGGUGCGAGCGUUAAUCGGAAUUACUGGGCGUAAAGCGCGCGUAGGCGGUCUGAUAAGCCGGUUGUGAAAGCCCCGGGCUCAACCUGGGAACGGCAUCCGGAACUGUCAGGCUAGAGUGCAGGAGAGGAAGGUAGAAUUCCCGGUGUAGCGGUGAAAUGCGUAGAGAUCGGGAGGAAUACCAGUGGCGAAGGCGGCCUUCUGGACUGACACUGACGCUGAGGUGCGAAAGCGUGGGUAGCACACAGGAUUAGAUACCCGAGUAGUC